rnacentral:rRNA from 1 species
UACGUAGGGUGCGAGCGUUAAUCGGAAUUACUGGGCGUAAAGCGUGCGCAGGCGGCGCGUUAAGACAGGUGUGAAAGCCCCGAGCUUAACUUGGGAAUUGCGCUUGUGACUGGCGUGCUGGAGUGUGGCAGAGGGAGGUGGAAUUCCCGGUGUAGCGGUGAAAUGCGCAGAUAUCGGGAGGAACACCUAUGGCGAAGGCAGCUCGCUGGGACGUUACUGACGCUGGAGACGCGAAAGCGUGGGGAGCAAACAGG